rnacentral:pre_miRNA from 1 species
AUUAUACCCUCUCCGUUCUGAAUUACUCGUCGUAGAAAUAAAUGUAUUUAGAUGUAUUUUAGUUCGAGAUACAUCCAUUUCUACGACGAGUAAUUUGAAACGGAGGAAGUAUGAA